rnacentral:lncRNA from 1 species
AGGAGUUGAAGAAUUGGACCUUAGAAGAAGCUUUCAAAAUUGAUGUAUUAUUCCAAUAAAAACCCGGUACAAUCCGCGUCGAGAACCUUGAUUCAUACCUCAAUCACGAACUUGCCAACUCGAUCAAAACCCCAAAACAGCGGAGAAAGCCACAAAAAAAAUCCAAAUCUCAAUUUUUGAACCAAGCUUGAAAUGAGUCAUGCCAGGUUUGUUAUUUUUGGUGAAGUUCGAACUCGCUGAAGCUCCGAUGGAUCUCGACAGUCAGCGAAACAAUGUUUUCCCAGUGAGAUUUUGCCAGAGAACUAGAAAUGAAAGAGAAUUCGAAGAUUUUGAGGGUGCGGAUGGUCUAAUUCCGGUAAGGGAAUACCGAUUUCGGCGAGAAACUCGCCGAAAAAACCAAACCAGUCGUCCUUUUUCUCAUGUAUUCCCUCUCUUCGAUCGAUUCUCUCCCUUUCUCAAUUUGGAUUGUCUUCUCUCCGAUCUCACGCUCAGAUUUGUCUCUCACUGUGGUUGUGUGUAUGUAUAAUGGUUUUGUGUGAAGGCAGGUGUAUUAAUGGAAUAAACUCAUCAGUGAUGGUGUCUAUAUAUUCCUCUUUCCCGUAUUCUAUAUGUGUAUAUGUUGAAUUGAGAUCUUUUUCUUUAUGGUUACCGUGAUGUUCGUCCAUGGCGUGUAGGUGUGUUCGUGGUAUAUGGGUCUUCUCUAAAAAUGGAAAAAAAUGGUCAGAAUGUUACUGUGUGGACAUCUCUGUAUUGUUAUCUAUUGUAUUCUUAUGUAUUCGCCUCCCAGUUUCUGUGUGAAGUGCGUGUGUAUAUUGUGAAUUACAGUGAGUGAGAAUUGUGUGGUAGUGGAGUAGGGUAGGUGGGCUAGUGAGGUGCGGGUAGGGGUAGGAUGUGAUGUGGUUUAUUUUGAUUGGAUGGGUUGUUAGGAUAAGAUAAAAUUAGCUAGGGAUUGUUAUUUUUGUCAUUUUGUGGAGAUUAUCACACGGGGUAGGGUACGCGGUAGGAUAAGGUAAAAAUGUGUAAAAAUGAUAUAGGGAAGGGACAAAAUUAGGUGUCUACAUCAUGCCCCCUUUGAAUGUAAACACAAAGUAUUUUUGAACAAAGAAGUAGACAACAAGACAGAAUUUUGUCCCGAUCAUUAUUCGAAGGAAAAAUAGAAGAAAGAAGAGCAAUCGAGUAUUGACUUAGGACACCCUACCUACCCAAGUUAUGAGGGAAUCAAGUGACAGGAUUCUCAAAGGAUUGAAAGGAGAUGGACUUUACCGAGUUGAAGAGUCGAGUGAGGUCCCGAUGAGGUUCCAGUCCGCGCAUCUGUUAUUACAUCAUAAAUAAAAGUUACAAGUUAAAACAUAAAUAAAAUUACAAAAUCAUAUCUAUGCAGUUAGUUUCUUUUGGACUCUUAACUUGAGUUUCAUCACUCUAUUCUUCAGGCGGGCUCCUGACUUGCAAUUUCAUCACUUGUUGCUUGGUUUUCAAUCUCUUCACCCUGUUCUUCAGGCGGGUUCCUAACUUGCUAUUUUUUCAAUCUGUUGACUUUAAAUUUCUUCACCUUGUUGCUUGACUUUCAACUUCUUCACCUUGUUACUUGACUUUCAACUUUUUCACCAUGUUGCUUGACUUUUCAUUUAUUCACCCUGCUCUUCAGGCGGGCUCCUGAAAUCACAUCAAUACUAAAAAGAAAAAUUAUCCCAAACAAAGAUUAUUAUAAAGAGAUUUCAUUUGUCAGGAAAGCGAAGUUCCAAACACAGGAUUUAAAUUUUCCCCAGUUUCUCAUCAAAGGACUUUUGGGAAAGUCACAUCAUUAUAGGAAUCAAAGGGAAUGACUAGACUAAAAGGAACAUCUUAUAAGAAUCAAAGGGAAUGACUCAACUAAAAGGUACGUCUUCUAGGAAUCAAGGGAUAUGACUCGACUAAAAGGUACUUCUUAUAGGAAUCAAGGGGCAAGGGGAAUGACUUGACUAAGUCUAAUGACUCGACUAGGGAAUGACUAGACUAAAAGGAACAUCUUAUAAGAAUCAAAGGGAAUGACUCAACUAAAAUGUACGUCUUAUAGGAAUCAAGGGGAAUGACUUGACUAAAAGGUACGUCUUUUAGGAAUCAAAUGACUCGACUAAAGGCACAUCAUCUAGGAAUCAAGGGGAAUGACUAGACUAAAAGGUACGUCUUCUAGGAAUCAAAGGUAAUGACUCGACUAAAAGGUACGUCAUCUAGGAAUCAAGGGGAAUGACUCGACUAAAAGGUACGUUUUCUAGGGGUCAAGGGGAACGAUUCAACUAAAAGGUACGUCUUCUAGGGGUCAAAGGGAAUGACUCGACUAAAAGGUACAUUUUAUAGGAAUCAAGGGGAAUGACUCGACUAAAAGGUACGUCUUCUAGGGGUCAAGAGGAAUGACUCGACUAAAAGGUACGUCUUCUAGGAAUCAAAUUAAAUAACUCGACUAAAAGGUACGCCUUAUAGGAAUCAAGGAGAAUGACUCGACUAAAAGGUACGUCUUCUAGGGGUCAAGGGAAAAGACUCGACUAAAAGAUAUGUCUUAUAGGAAUUAAAGAAGAUGACUCGAAUAAAAGGUACGUCUCAUAGGAGUGAAGGUUCAAUUUAAGAAGUGUAUCACCUAGCAAAUGAAAACUAAAAUCCCUGGACAAGAAAGUGUCUCCGAGGGAUAUAGGAUGAUGAUUUUUUACAAUGACUUGAUUAUUAAACCUGUCCAACAACAUUGUUUCCUGCAUUUGUAGGAGUGAGGCAUUGCAGACCUUGAUAUUUAUGUUCCGAAUUCCUUGAUUUAAAGGUAAUAUGUUUCCUAUUUCAUCAAAAAAAACUUGUGAGUUAAAAAAUAUGGUGGCUGGCUUGUGGCUUUAGCUUUUGCGACAAUCGCUCUUGCCCCAGUCACAUUUAACCUUGCUUCCAACCAUUAGCAUAUGUCAUUGACUUGUUGAAUCAGUGAUCCAAACUCAUAUUAGGAAGAGUGACUCUGCCACAAACACAGUAUCUCUGCUUUGCCAUGUUUCUCAGUUAAACCCUUUGAACUAUGGUAUUUCCGUGGGUUCCCAGACUUGUCUAUUGACAAAACUUUCUAUAUGUCCUUUUUUCAGCUCACAAUUAUAUCUCUUUCAUGCGCUGGCCUUUUUGUCUUGCUUUGUACAAUUGAAGAAGUUGGUAGCCAAUUUUAAAAUCUUUUCUCACUUGUUUCGACAUGGACUAGACUCAAAGACAAGAGCGAAAAUGACCAUGAUUUUUUAUUUGGAUAACUGACUCAAGAAAAAUAAAAUAAAAAUAAAACAAAGAGAAGAAAGAAAAGACAAUGAAUGUACCCAUUAAAAAAAAUAAUGAAAAAUGUAUCUAAAAAUGACAGUUAACUCUAUUGAUUAUGCCAUGCAUUUUGGAUUAAGUUGCCUGAUCUUUCAUCUAAACCUUCUACUAAUUGUUGUUGAGUUAAUGACCUUGAAACUGAAUUGCUUCCUUGGGCCAAUUUGCAUUCAAAAAUCUCAUUUGGCUAGUGGCACCUUGAAGGGUUUUCGCCAACAAGCCUCUCUCAUCUUCUUUUCCUCAACUCACCAUAGUCUUAUGGUGUCUGUAAGAGUUUUCACCAACGAGACUCUCUUAUCUUCGUUUCUCUCAACUCAUAGUCGUCUUACGAUGCCCAUGAGAGUUUUCACCGAUAAGAAUCUCUCAUUUUUAUUGCUCUCUUGAUUUCUUAUGCCGAGGAAGACAAGUGGUUCCCAAAUGCAUCAUCAUAUCCCUUGCAUGCUUAGCCUUAACAUCCUCAAAGAUUGAUCCGAAGGUCUUUCUUUGGUUGUAACUUGGCUUUUGGAUAGGGUUAGAAAGAAGGGAUGGCAUGGGGCCCAAACGGCACUUAAAGUGGGGUAGGACUUACAAUUUUUAGAAACGACUCAAAUAAUGAGGAUUAACUUAUGCCCCAGUUUUUUACUAGGCAAUUCUAAAUUAUUUAUUUGGUUGGACCAAGCCCUAAGUAGGGCAUCCUACGUAUCUCACCCCCGAGAGAAAAGAAUCGGGUCAUGCGUAGUUCUGGCAACUUGUUUUGCUUGAUUCUGAUUUCAUUUUUCUUUUGACUUCUUUUUUUUUCUUUGUAAUUUUUCUGACUCUAAUUUACUUACUUUUUUUCUUCCUUCUUGGACACAUUUUCCUCUUUUUUUGAAAAAACUUUCUGACUCUACUCUCUUGCUCUAUACUUUUCUUUUGAACUUUAUUGGUUUUAUCUUGAUUCCAAAAAAGGGGUAUGAAAGAAAAUAACACUAAGGCUUAAAUGGGGUAGACAAAGGAUGACACAAUGUUUGAAUAACAGAAUAAAAUGUCUUUGUCAUAUCAAUCCUUGAAAAUGCACGUACAUAUCAUGCAAUAUAAAAGUGAAAGAUGAAGAUCAUUUGACACCUUAAAACCACUAUCUUUAAUUGAACAUGUGUGCUACUUCUUCCUCUACACUUGUCAAACAUAUAACUCCACCUUUGUUGUAUAUCCCUUACAUUGAAUGACUCAUACUUUCGUCGAGUUGAUUUUCUUUAUAUUCCUCUUGAUAGGAUCACGCAGACACUGUUUGACCUAAUCGAGACAUGUCUUUUAAUUGAUGACCAAGUUAUUCUUGUGAUUCUCAAAAUAAUUGCCUUAAUUUUUAGAAAAGGCUUCAACUUGUCACCAAAUAUCUCAGUACUCUACUAUUUUCUUAGAUGUUUCUCCUAACUUUAGCCCUCUGAUUCAAUGUUCAUGCUUAAACUGCAUUUUAAGAUCUGACUGAAAAUUCCGCAGGCAUGUCAUAUUACUAGAAUCAACAUAAAAUAUGUUGUAUAAAGAAAACAAACAAACAACACAUUUGAAACAUAAAAGGAAAGGGACACUUCAUUUAGUUGAAAUAAAAGAUAAAAGGGUUUGAACAUAAACGACGAAGGGACAAACAAGAUAGAUCUCGAACUACAACCCUGAAAUACUUCAAAAAAUAGAAAAGAAAACAAAACAAACUACCAGACCUCUUCCUAGUGGGGAGAUGGGUGACUUCUCAUUUGCUCAGCCUGACAACUUAGCCACUGGUUUGCAUAUCAACAUGACCAGAGCUUCCCUCACUGUCAAUGUUCUGCACCAUAAUCGAUCCAUCUUGAAUCAUCUUUUCAAUUUCCCUUUUCAAAUCUCAACAAUCUUUAAUACUAUGACCCUGAGCAUCAGAAUUAUACGCACAUCAUACAUUAGGGUCAAAAUUUCUUGAACAUCGAUUAAGAGUGCACUUAAGGAGAGGAGUGAUCAUGCUCCAUUGUACCAAUUUCUGAAACAAACUAGCAUACGACUCUCUAAUUGGUGUGAAGUUAUCUCUCGACUUCUGCCUCAUUUCAUCAUUUGGCUUGGAUAAAAAAUCAGGCUUAGAAGGGUUUUGGUAUAUUUGUGAAGUUAGAGGAUGACUCUGAAUUGUUGGUGUUUUCCACUGUGGGUAAGAUGGGGGUUGAUUAUGUGGUUGUGCAUUAUAUACUGAAUAUGGAGGUGGAGGAGCAGAGUAUAAUGGAUUUUAGGAGUGAUUAUGUGGAGCUUGGGCAUGACCUUGGGUUUGAGCCUGAGAGUGGCGACAACGGGGUCUUCUUGACCGUGCCCGCUGUCCAACUACAAUAGAGGAUGCAACUUCCUCAUUCUUUGUCUCCACAAUACUUCCUGAACCCUUUUGAAUUGCUUGAGUUGUCACUUUCAAUGUUGCAAAACUCACAAUGUGACCAGUCUUAAUUCCCUCUUCUAUCAUCUCCCCCAUUUUAAGGACCUCAAUAAAUGACUUGCCUAAUGCAGGUAACAAGUUUUGAUAAUAUAUUUCAUCCUGUGCUUGAAUAAACACCUUUGCUAUUUUGCUUUCUUUCAUUGGCGAUUUUACUCUAACAGCUUGUUCGCGCCAUCUGAUCGCAUACUUUCUGAAACUCUCAGUAUUCUUCUUUUUUAUACUAGUUAGGGAUUUUUCGUCAGAGAUCAACUCCACAUUGUAUUGAAAUUGUUGCACAAAUUCAUUAGCUAGGUUAUCCCAACUAAUCUACUUGUCAAUGUCUUGGUCAACAAACCAUUUCGAAGCUAGGUCUAAAAGACUCCCCCAGAAAUAAUCCUUGAGUAGUUCUUCCUUCCCUCUAGCGCCCCUCAAUUGGUUACAAUAGCGACUCAAAUGUGCCACUGGGUCCCCAUGUCCAUCAUAGUUCUCAAACUUUGGCAUUUUAAAGUCAGGUGGAAAGUUGACACCUGGAAACAUGCAUAAGUCCUUAUAUGAGACACUUUUGUAACCCUCAAGUCCUUGCAAGUUCUUCAUAGCCAGUUCCAAACUUCUCAAUUUUUUGGUCAUUUCCUCUUGUCCUUCUUUCAUAACAAGCUUCUCAGUGUUAGGAGGAAAUUCAAGUGGGUGAGUGUCACUGUAAAGACCAGUCAACUUGAAUGUAGGCUCGAAAGUGUACCGCUGAUCACCAGUAAUAUUCAAUCCAGGCUUUCUUGUAGAGUAGGGAGGCACAACUUGUGGACGAACAUCAAAAGUAGGAGCUUCAGGUGGGGGUGGCACCGCAAAAGCAUGAACAACAGGUGAAGCCGAGUAUGUGGUAGUCUUGGAUUGGGGAGUGAGGAAAUAAACAUUAGAAGUGGUUGGGUAUUGUUGCCCCAAAGUCGAUCCUGAUGCAUGUUGUGGCAUAUCAACAAAAAUGGGAAAUUGUGCAUAUGACACGAGAGGCAAGAUGGAAAGAUAUUCCAGAUUAUCAGUGGGAACUGGAGGAGGAGGUAACCCAUUAGCCCAAGCUCGAUGCAUUCCUAUCAUUUGCUGCCUCAAUUUCCGAAUCACUUCAUUAGCUCCUACAUUCUCACUUCUCAAACUCCCUAUCUGAUAGUGACAACAAACUCGGUAUCCUUGUUAGCCAUAACCUUCUCUAUGACUUGGUGCAAUAUGGAGGACCAGCUAAAAUGCCACAACCCAACCACCUCAAACUAACUGAACAAGAGAUAACAAAUGCGUUAGAGUCUAACACUUUCUCAAAAUCUCCCCUUUUUUUCUUUUUGAAAAGGUCACCGAACCCAAGAAGGCUACCUACGUAUAUCACCCCCUGAGAGAGGAGAAUCAGGUGUGCGUAGUUCAUGAAAUCUUGCCAAAAUGGUCAAAUAAACUCUUUUUCUUUUUCUUGAAACUUUAAAAAUAAAAGGAAAUAACAAAUUGUCAAAAGAAUUGACGAAAAUCUUUUUUGCAUUUUUCGGCUUUAAUAACCUAUACAAAAUGAAACCUAUGAUUACCAAAGAAAAGUCAUUUUGGAUUUUCGAUUUUGAAUUUCAUAUGAAAAUAAAACUUGAAACUAUUAAAGGAAAAUGUUUUUGUAGUUUUCUUUUUAGAGAUGUAUAUAAAACACUUACUUUAAAUAAAGAGUGAAGAAAAUCUUUUAGAAUUUUUCAAAUAAGAUCCCCGAACCAAAAAUAGGUUGCCUACAUAUCUCACAUCCCGAAAGAGGAGAAUCAGGGGUGCGUAGUUCAUCCAGAUUGGAAAAUUAAUGAUUAAAUAAUCGACUAAACCCGGACUUGAGAUACCAGACCACAAACAGAAGAUGAAAAACAUCAAUAAAAUCUUUUUAAGUUUUCAAUUUGACACUUAACCUAAAAAUGACACCAAUAAAUAUGCAAGGAAAAUCUUUUUUGAUAUUUUCGUUAUACGAAAUGUAUAAAACUUCUACCAGUUUUUAAAUUUUUCUUUUAUAAAAGGCUCCUAUUGAAAAAUAAUCUUUUUGAAAUUUUUGAAUUAUGAAUGCAUGCUAAAGGAGACAAAGCAAAAAACUUUCUGAUGUUUUUGAUUUUUGAGAAAUGAGUGCAAAAGGAAAAAAAAUCUUUCUGAAUUUUGAAUUUUGAAAAACAAAAGCCAUAAAGAACUCUGAAAACUAGAAACUCUCUUUUUUUUUCUUUUUGACUCACUAUUCUUUUUUUUUUUUUUUUUUUUACUUCUAACACAUGUUUUCCCCAAAUUAGUCCAUCAAAUGACCAUAUUACCCUCAAAGAUGCAACAAUUAACACGUAGGGAUGCUUUAGAGGCAAGUCUCCUACAAAAGGCCAAGUGGGCCCCUCUAGGUCUUCAAUAUGAUGCAUAUAAACAUGACCUACAAGGUGACCUACGUUGGGGUUCACUAACAAGGCUGUUCGGAGGAGCGUAUAGUCGAUAGUGGCUGCUUUGCUUUCCACCUACUCCAUAACAUCGAUGGCUCCUCCCCUAAAAUAAGGGUGACUCAACUAGAGGUCGUGUACAACACGUGUACUAUGGACUUGUUGCAGAAAGAAUGACUCGGGCUAUGCACAUGAUGCUAGAUAUAAAGCAGCAACACAUAAGAUAAAAUUAUAAACAAAGAGCAUGUAGGCACUCAAAAAAAUAACAAAAAGCAACGCAAAUAUAUGUCUAUACACGUAUAGUGACAAACUAAGCCGAUACAACUCCAAAUUAAGCUUGAAUUCUGAAAAUAGAUCUCCAACGGAGUCGCCAGAGCUGUCACACCCCUUUUUAACUCCAAAAAGAUAUUAUUUUAAAAGUUUGAAAGGGUUUUCGUUAUAAGUGACAAAAGAUAAAAAUUUGCUUCGAAAAGGACCUUUUAUAUUCAAAACUCAGAGUCGCCACUUGGCAUAAUCCGGUGUGCCAAGUCACCUUUGAAAAAUCCUUUUCAAAACGAUUUGACUCAAACUGGUUUGCGAACAGAGAUUUCAGCUAAGGAAUUCUGUUGACCGACGGAAAGGUGUUAGGCACCCCUCGAUCCUGUGGUUUGAACACGGUCGCUUGUUGGAGCGUAUCGGCUAAUUUGACACCACGAAUGUAUAAACCACACAAAAGCACGCAAAACAAUCAAUCAAGCAAAAAAAAUAAAAACAAUCCAAAAUUUGGUGUCCAGUCCAAUUUAUUACAAAUUGAAAUAGAAAAUACUGAAUAAACCUACACUAACCUAUACUAGUCCUAAAUUAAACUCUACCCGAUGCCUUGGGCCUUCAUCACAGACAUCCUCCGUGUACAAAAUACCUCAGGGCAUUCCCCAACGAAUAAACACAAAUACCUCGGGGCAUUCCCCAGCCAAAUGAAUACAUUUUCAAUGCAAGAAGACCACAAUCAUUCAAUAAUAUUUCAAACAUUCCACAAUUUAUAAUCCCUAAAUUUGCCUAUCACCCCUAUUGUUUGCCUAUCGAUUUGACGACCUAAUCUUGAUACUAUUAAGUUCGAUGACAUCAAUGAAUUAAAAUUAGUCCGUAUUCAUUUUUUUACUUUUCAAAUCCCGUCUCACUUUCAUUCUUGAUCAAUUAACCAAUUCCAAUACAGAAUCAACCAAUCAAAACUACGAUAAUCAUAGACGUUCAAACAUACUAUCAAAAAUUAUAUCAUCAAUCAACAUGAACCACGCAACUCACAACAUCACCUCACCAAAUUAAGUAAAACAAAGAGGAGGAGUUGAAGAAUUGGACCUUAGAAGAAGCUUUCAAAAUUGAUGUAUUAUUCCAAUAAAAACCCGGUACAAUCCGCGUCGAGAACCUCGAUUCAUACCUCAAUCACGAACUUGCCAACUCGAUCAAAACCCCAAAACAAUGGAGAAAACCACAAAAAAAAAAAAUCCAAAUCUCAAUUUUCGAACCAAGCUUGAAACGAGUCACGCUAGGUUUGCUAUUUUUGGUGAAGUUCGAACUCGCUGAAGCUCCGAUGGAUCUCGGCAGUCAGCGAAACAAUGUUUUCCCAGUGAGAUUUUGCCAGAGAACUAGAAACGAAAGAGAAUUCGAAGAUUUUGAGGGUGCGGAUGGUCUAAUUCCGGUAAGGGAAUACCGAUUUCGGUGAGAAACUCGCCGGAAAAACCAAACCAGCCGUCCUUUUUCUCAUGUAUUCCCUCUCUCCGAUCGAUUCUCUCCCUUUCUCGAUUUGGAUUGUCUUCUCUCCGAUCUCACGCUCAGAUUUGUCUCUCACUGUGGUUGUGUGUAUGUAUAAUGGUUUUGUGUGAAGGCAGGUGUAUUAAUGGAAUAAACUCAUCAGUGAUGGUGUCUAUAUAUUCCUCUUUCCCGUAUUCUAUAUGUGUAUAUGUUGAAUUGGGAUCUUUUUCUUUAUGGUUACCGUGAUGUUCGUCAAUGGCGUAUAGGUGUGUUCGUGCUAUAUGGGUCUUCUCUAAAAAUGGAAAAAUAUGGUCAGAAUGUUACUGUGGGGACAUCUAUAUUGUUAUCUAUUGUAUUCUUAUGUAUUCGCCUCCCUAUUUCUAUGUGAAGUAUAUGUGUAUAUUGUGAAUUCCAG